rnacentral:tmRNA from 1 species
CUUCAAAUUAACCGCCCAAAGCCCUAUAUGGAUGCUGUCCGUUUCGGCGGACUAUGGCGAUAAACGCGCACGUAAUAAGCGGACUGGACGCGGGUGCGAUUCCCGCCGGCUCCACCAAAAAUCCCGGGUCAGGGUCCGGGACUUCUGAUGGGGCCGAUCAGGAUCGACAGACGUGUAAAGGUGUUUGCUUUCGCCCGCACGGUGCUGCGUUAAAAGCCCAUACAUCAGAGUUGCCAAUGACAACUUUGCUGAAGAGGUCGCUCUCGCUGCGUAACGCAGCGCGAGUAUCUCGCACUUAAGCCCUGACCGGUUAGCUCGGUCAGGCGGGGCUCGGGGGCGCCUGGCAACAGAAGCCCC